AGGGGGGCUGCUCCUAGUACGAGAGGACCGGAGUGGACGCAUCACUGGUGUUCGGGUUGUCAUGCCAAUGGCACUGCCCGGUAGCUAAAUGCGGAAGAGAUAAGUGCUGAAAGCAUCUAAGCACGAAACUUGCCCCGAGAUGAGUUCUCCCUGAGACCUUGAGUCUCCUGAAGGAACGUUGAAGACGACGACGUUGAUAGGUCGGGUGUGUAAGCGCAGCGAUGCGUUGAGCUAACCGAUACUAAUGAACCGUGAGGCUUAACCUUACAACGCCGAAGGUGUUU
rnacentral:rRNA from 1 species